GAUGAACGCUGGCGGCGUGCCUAAUACAUGCAAGUCGAGCGAACAGACGAGGAGCUUGCUCCUCUGACGUUAGCGGCGGACGGGUGAGUAACACGUGGAUAACCUACCUAUAAGACUGGGAUAACUUCGGGAAACCGGAGCUAAUACCGGAUAAUAUAUUGAACCGCAUGGUUCAAUAGUGAAAGACGGUUUUGCUGUCACUUAUAGAUGGAUCCGCGCCGCAUUAGCUAGUUGGUAAGGUAACGGCUUACCAAGGCGACGAUGCGUAGCCGACCUGAGAGGGUGAUCGGCCACACUGGAACUGAGACACGGUCAAGACUCCUACGGGAGGCAGCAGUAGGGAAUCUUCCGCAAUGGGCGAAAGCCUGACGGAGCAACGCCGCGUGAGUGAUGAAGGUCUUCGGAUCGUAAAACUCUGUUAUUAGGGAAGAAAAAAUGUGUAAGUAACUAUGCACGUCUUGACGGUACCUAAUCAGAAAGCCACGGCUAACUACGUG
rnacentral:rRNA from 1 species